GCUGUCCCAGGCUAGUUAUAAGAUUCUUCUCUGACCGCGCUUCACUUUGUCCUAGUUCACUGACUUGUCUAAUGGGUAUUUGAUGGGGGAUGGGGGUAGAGGGAGUAGGGUAACUGCUUGAUGAGAAAUUCUAACCUCUGGAUCCCUUCCAAUUCUAACAUCCAACUUUCUGGUGAAGCAAGAAGCUCCAAAGUAGGAAGUUCACAACUAGAAAUAAAAGACAGGGUGGAAAAGGCAGAACAGAAGCAGUAACCUGCAGCUCUUCACUGAGGUGCUCCCCAGAAGCAAAGGCUUCGCACUAUGUUAGUACAGGCUUCAUGAAGCCCCAGUGCAUGACAGCAAGCAAAAGGAACAAAGGGCUCCAAAUGCAGCUGGCAGGUUUUGUAACUAGGGCAAACAGAAGCCCAGUCACCAACCAGUGGAAGAUUUCUUGGUUGAGGUAAAGCUGCAGGUAAAAAAGAGCGUCUAAUUUAGGGAUUUACACUGAGGUGGAUUUGCAGUGAUAACUGAGUUUUCAAGAGGGGAAGCAAAGGGAAUUAAUACAAGGGUUAGUUAGCCCAGGACAGAGUGGAUGGGGGAGAAUCCCCAGUUAGGUACCCAAACCAGAAAGUGCUUGCUUAUUAGAAAGGAUGACCUCGUAUGCCUACCUCCCUCACAAAUUUGAGCACUGUUCUGAAACGUUUAAGAGGACAAUCAUGUUUAUAAAAAGAACCCCUGAGCCUGUCACUAGUGUCAGCCCUGCUAUAACAUCCAGGAAAACGCAGGAGGCCUUGCAUUUGCAAGAGACAAACUGAGAAUGAAGAAGAGUUAACAGGAAAAAUGAAAAUACAGCAUAUGCUUCACUAACCUUUACACUCCUCCCUCCCCCCAUUUUCACCUAUUAAAAGCGGCAGAGUAGACAGAUACCACAGGAGGACAUGAUAGGGAGAAGGAAUACAACCUCAAGGCCUCAAAGGAAACUGCAGUGAGGCCUGUCUGUCCCUCCCUGUCUUGAAUCUGACCAACGAGUCAAACCAUGAGCUCAAGCAAAUCAGGUACAACCACUGACAGCAUAGCUCGGUUUCAGAAAGAGAAACUAGUUUGGAGAACUAGCCUUACAGCUCAACCAGUAUCCUCCAGGCACCACUACUGGGCCCUGUGAAAAGGGAGGUUUCAGGGGUUGUUUUACCUCCAAGAAGAGCAAACUGAGCCACCUCCUCCAGAUAGGGCUUCUGGUCAGGAAAGCCCCACAUAAACCCUACUGCUCAAUGCAGGGUAAGUGUCCAAGCUCUCCUAGCAAAGUAAAACCUACCAAAAACGGGUUGAAAAUAAGCCACUAUGCCUGAUGCUUUUAAAGAAAUAAAAGCUUCUUAGCUGAAAUAUUAUUAGAGGUUCAUAAAGGUAAUUUUUUUUUAUUCCUUUGGGCAAGAAGGACAGAAGGAGUCAAUUUGUUCAAAAUAACUAGAUACACAAGCUCAGAGAGGAGGGUUGUAGGAAGAAGCUCCACGAGGCUGGCAGGAAAUGCUUCACUGCCAAGUGCAGAGAGGCCCUCGCCCAAACACAGAACCUAACACUUGUGUAUCACUUCAUGAAGCGCCUCACGAUAGUUUUAUGUGCACAGAGAAGACCUGGUCAAGAUCAACAGGACUUACUGCACAGGGCCAUGUUGGGAAAAAAUUAUGUACUUUGCAACACUCAUCUACAAAGUGCUAUGAAGUCUCUUAAUACAGACAUACGUUGGAGACAGUGCAGGUUCUGUUCCCGAUCACUGCAAUAAAGUGAAUAUCGCAAUAGA